UCCACAAAGGGCAUGCAUGCCAAAAGCCUG
rnacentral:piRNA from 1 species